GGUGGCUCAGUGGUAGAGUGUUUGCCUUGCAUGCAGAAGGCCCUAGGUUCAAUUCCUCAGCACCA
rnacentral:tRNA from 1 species